UAAACUCUACUAUUUCUUGCUUUUACUUUGCCAUGUUUGUCAUGUUUGUUCGUUGUGUCAUUUGCUUGUUUAUGUGUGAUUCUAUGAUUGAAACAUUAAGGACAAUGUUUGGAAGUGUGGGGGGGGGGGGGGGGUAAACAAGUGUUUUUAUUGAAAAUUUGUGGGUUUUUUAUCACCUAGCACCACUAGAGUUUUUUCUCAUUGUUUUUAAGUGUUUUAGUGUGUUUUGAAAGAAAAAUACAAAAAUUUGAAAAAAAAAUAGAAAAAGUUUUGAAAACCCAAAAAAGAGUCGUUUUAGAGUUGUUUUUGUGUGUUUGUUUAUGUCUUAGGGUACCUUCCAACACAAUGAUGAGGAUUUGGUUUUUAAUUGCUUGACUGUUAAAGAAAAUUACAAACAUGGGUGGAAGUUUGAUAUGCUCUUUGGUUAAUGCUUGGUUGUAGUUGUCAUCAACGAAUUCACAUGUAAUCACAAAGGAGAAAAUCAGUUUUUGUAACAUGCUUGAAGGAAGGAACUCAAACUAACGUUACAACAUUGAGAGACUUAAGCCUAAACGUUAUUUGGAGAGUUAUUAAUAUGUGAUUUCUUGUUUUCUAAAAUCAUUGCAUGAUCUCAUUAUUCUUGGCUUGGGUGCUACUUAGAAUGCGUUUUAUCACUUUAGUUUCAAAUACUAGAACUCAUGCCCGUUUCAUUCAAAGCUUAAAAUUGAAUGCAUAACAUAUAACAAGAUGAAGUUGUUUAGUAGUUACCACCAGAGCCAAAAAGCCUUCAUCCCAUGCAUUUGUUUUGUAGGUUUAACCUCUUUGAGCCUUAUUUAGCUUAUUUUCGUUGUUAGCCACAUUACCCCGACCUAGCCUAGAAUAGGACUAUCCAUACCCUUGUUCUUAAAGUAUAAUGGAGCAUGACUUAGAGAGAAUUCCUUUUGAUCAAACAUAUUGCAGAAAUCAAGUGUGGGGGAAGGGUAUGUACACGAGUAGAAAGAGAAAAGAAAAAAAAGAAAAGAAACAAAAAGAAAAAAAAAACAUGAAAAAGAAGAAAAAGUGGAAAAACAAAGAAACAAAGUUGUGAAAUAAAUGAGAAAGAAUUCACAAGUAUUGGUUGUUGAAGAAAGGGUCCAAAAAGUUUGAAUAUGACCCUAAGUAUAUACGAAAUCCCCUUAGUGUUUCGAGUUAUUUGCUGCAUUCAAGAGUGAAUUCUAAGUUGAUUUCAUUACUUUGCUUAUUAUUGCUUUAAGAACCUUUGUUUAUCCUUAACCUGUCUUUGUUAGCCAAUACCCUUAGCCCCGUUACAACAUUUAGACUUUAAUCUUGGUUGUUGUGUGUUUCAAUAUGUGGAGUUUGGGUUGGUAUGAGCUUAUAGUAUCCCUGGUUCUCGCGUCUAAGUAGUGGCAUUCCAUUUAUGAGAUCAUAUAUAUACAUGCAUUAAUAAUUCCAGAAAAUGCCUUCUUUGUUUAUAACAUAUGUGAGUGGCUAGUCUACAUGUUUACAUCAAUCUUCUCACAUAUACCUAGUAUAGGGAGUGUAGUUAGAAAAUCUGUGUGAAAAUAGAGAGUAUAUUCAGUGAGGAAUUGAGGGAAUUCUCUAAGGCAUGUUACUACAUUUAAAAUGUUGUUUUAAUUGAUUAAAUGCAAGCUAGUGAGUGGUGACUACGAUUAAGUGUGUGCUCGAGGGUAAGGAUGGCUAAACUCUAUGUGAGUAGUGAUUUUUAACAUGUCGUGUUUCAUUGGAAAUCUCUGAGGUGAUUGUUGGAAGGUCUAAGUUAUGUUUUGUUUUGUUUUGUUUGUUUCGUUUUGCUCGAGGACUAGCAAAAGCUAACUGUGUGGGAAUUUGAUAUGAGCAUAUUUAUGCAACUUAGUUAGCUUGUUUUCUUGCAUUUUCAUAGUUAGUUUCUGUUUAUUAUAGUGGUUUAAGCCAUUUUCGUGUGUUUGUAGGUCAAAAUGACAAAGUUGGCAAGAAAGUGCAAUUUGGAGCAUUUUGGAGCAGUUUUGUGCCAAGAAUGGAUAGCACAUGCAUGGAGCAAGGUGGAUGGAUGUUUUUGAAGUUCAAGAGGCUAGGAAUGUGCUGAAAAUAU
rnacentral:lncRNA from 1 species